rnacentral:rRNA from 1 species
UGUGGUUUAAUUCGAUGCAACGCGAAGAACCUUACCUGGUCUUGACAUCCACAGAAGAAUCCAGAGAUGGAUUGGUGCCUUCGGGAACUGUGAGACAGGUGCUGCAUGGCUGUCGUCAGCUCGUGUUGUGAAAUGUUGGGUUAAGUCCCGCAACGAGCGCAACCCUUAUCCUUUGUUGCCAGCGAUUAGGUCGGGAACUCAAAGGAGACUGCCAGUGAUAAACUGGAGGAAGGUGGGGAUGACGUCAAGUCAUCAUGGCCCUUACGACCAGGGCUACACACGUGCUACAAUGGCGCAUACAAAGAGAAGCGACCUCGCGAGAGCAAGCGGACCUCAUAAAGUGCGUCGUAGUCCGGAUUGGAGUCUGCAACUCGACUCCAUGAAGUCGGAAUCGCUAGUAAUCGUGGAUCAGAAUGCCACGGUGAAUACGUUCCCGGGCCUUGUACACACCGCCCGUCACACCAUGGGAGUGGGUUGCAAAAGAAGUAGGUAGCUUAACCUUCGGGAGGGCGCUUACCACUUUGUGAUUCAUGACUGGGGUGAAGUCGUAACAAGGUAACCGUAGGGGAACCUGCGGUUGGA